GAUGAACGCUGGCGGCGUGCCUAAUACAUGCAAGUCGAGCGAAUGGAUUAAGAGCUUGCUCUUAUGAAGUUAGCGGCGGACGGGUGAGUAACACGUGGGUAACCUGCCCAUAAGACUGGGAUAACUCCGGGAAACCGGGGCUAAUACCGGAUAACAUUUUGAACCGCAUGGUUCGAAAUUGAAAGGCGGCUUCGGCUGUCACUUACGGAUGGACCCGCGUCGCAUUAGCUAGUUGGUGAGGUAACGGCUCACCAAGGCAACGAUGCGUGGCCGACCUGAGAGGGUGAUCGGCCACACUGGGACUGAGAAACGGCCCAGACUCCUACGGGAGGCAGCAGUAGGGAAUCUUCCGCAAUGGACGAAAGUCUGACGGAGCAACGCCGCGUGAGUGAUGAAGGCUUUCGGGUCGUAAAACUCUGUUGUUAGGGAAGAACAAGUGCUAGUUGAAUAAGCUGGCACCUUGACGGUACCUAACCAGAAAGCCACGGCUAACUACGUGCCAGCCGCCGCAGUAA
rnacentral:rRNA from 1 species